AGGACCGACGUCUGUUCAGGCCCAGUCCUUCAAGCUCGCCCCAGGACGCAGGACUGGGUGUGCAUGUCCGACAUGAGUGGGCGAGAGAGUCCUGUUACCGACCUGUGCGUCCUUAUGGCAUGGGACUGAAAAAUUUGACAUCAGAUGUAUAAAUCUUCAAGUCAGGGAAUAUGAAGAGGAGAAAAACUCAAGGUUAAUUUCAAGAUUAUUAUUGUGUAAAAUCUUUAGUGUCACCUCUAAACAAGGCAUAUAUUCAGUACUACAAUGGAUCAUAUAAGUGAGAAAAUAAUCGAGGUCUUCGAACGGGAAAUCGACAGAGAGUUGGCCGAGAGGAUGGUAACAGUUUCAACAAUUUCCGAUAACAUAAAAAUAUGCCAAAAACAACUCGACAGACUUCGCAAAGAGGCAGUUGUUAAAUUUUAUACAAAUCCAUGCCAGAACUCUGAGACUGAGCAGCCAAGUAUACAUCCAGCCGUAAAGAAACUAAUUGGCAAGAGACCUGCUGUCACUGAUUCCACCCAACAGUACCUGAAGUCCACAGCAUCAGAGUGGAAGAGGGAGACGAGGAAAAGGCACCAGAAAAAACACUCGACAACGUUUCUGAAACACAAGAGUAAAAAUUCAGACAAGCCAGAUGAAGAGACAUCAGUCACCAACGAGAAUGUUAUUAGGCCUUGUUAUAUCCCACCUACAAUCCCAGGAAACCCCCAAGAAAACUCAACUUUAAGAGGAAACACAAAGAAAAUGCACAUGAGAGUUUUGGUUGGAAACUUAGCACAAAGACUGGACACAGUUGGUGAAGAUGGAGCGACCCAUAAGUGGAUUGUCUAUGUAAGGUCAGCUCCUGGCUCAUUGGAGAUCGAACAGCAAGUGGCUAGCGUGUGCUUUUAUCUUCAUCCUACUUAUAAACCUCACAAUAUCGUGACAGCCCCAUAUCCACCGUUUACUCUUAACCGCAGAGGAUGGGGGGAAUUCCCUCUAAGAGUUGAACUGAGUUUUAAGAACAACCUAAACAAGCCAGCUGAUAUCAUUCAUAAUAUUAAUCUGAAUGGAAGCAUAAGCGGGCACCAUACCAGAAGUUCAGAGACAUAUUUAGAUCUCUGGCUCUAUCCGAAUGGUGAGGCAGGGCCUAGUCAUUCCGUUACUUCACGCCUGAUUUUAGACCAAGCAAGUGACUUGAUGAAGGAAAACGUACCAGAUUUCUCAACAGACUUGAUAUGUUUUAAAUGUCAAGAAUCAGGUUUACCAGUUGAGAACAGCCGAUGCGCAUGUGAUGCCUCAAAUUUAUCUGUGUUUGACGAUCAAGAUUCUUCCUCGAUUAAUGAAAAUUUUAGCGGUACUGAUUUCAUCCCUGACAUGAUCACUUCACUUCCUAUGGAUUGUGAGACGGAUCCACACACCUAUGUUUCAAGAAAUUUGGAAACACCAGAGAUGUCGUCAGUCAACUUUGGAAUGGAACACUCAAGUCGUCGAAUAACUAACUAUGAAGUUUCUAGUCUAUCAGACAUUGUCAAAAAUGUUAUCGGCCCCAAUAGCUGCCCAAAUUUUCACGUAGAUUUGUCAAAAUUAUCUCUACCAUUUGAUUUUGACAAAAAUGCUUUUGAAAAAGGUUUUCUCGAUGAAAGUACUGAUCAUGAACUUGACUUGAUUAAAGUUACUGACUUCACAUCUAAUAACAGUAACGAUGCUGUAAAUUUUAGUUCAGAUAUAGAUUUUAGUGAAAUACUUGAAGACUUGGUACUAAAAGAAACAAUCAAAGAAGAACCGGUUGUAUUUGAAGGGAGUAACACUGGAUUAAAAUUGGAAAAUUUAGGUACAUCAACACUACAUAAUUGUAGUAUCAAAAUUGAAGAUAACAUAUGCAUGAGUAGUGAUGUAAGCACUAACCAUGUUACUUCAAAUCACCAUACACCACCAGAGAUUCAAGGGGAUAAUGUUUGCAAAAUUCCUGAAGAAUUACUUCUUCCCGACUUUUUUGAUUCAGAGUUUCCAAACUUAAACACUUUACAUACCAAUGAUACAAAUUUAAUUGAUUCAGAAUUUAAAUUUGCAGAUGUACCUUGUUCAGAUGAAACCAAUUUUAUUAACUCAGGAUUUUACCCUUUAAAUGCACAAUCCACAUGUAUUGAAGAUUGUACACUAUCAAAAAAUGACGCAAAUUUCCUUGACACUGGGUUUGCUUCCCUUAACCCAUAUCAGUCAUUUGAUAAUCAUCCAAAUGAGAGUGAAAGGAAUUUCAAGAUGACUGACUUGAGGAAUUUGUCUCAGCCAAGUUGUUCACACUCAGAUUCACAGAGUGAACAGACAAAAAUAAUCACUGAAGAAAAUUUCAGAAAAGAUACAACAAUGGUAAUCGAAGAAAUACCAAUACAUGAGUUUAUAGAUAACAUUGUUGAAGAAAUUGUUGUUGAUAUCCCUAAAGAGGAGUUGUCUAAUUCAGACAGUAGUCAACUAAUACGACCAGACACUAUUGGAAGUGAGAGAGAUGCCUCUCCUGUUGAAGAAUUACCGACGCAAACCCAAAAUAUUGAAGAAAAUCAAAUCCUUGCAGAUGUACCAUCAUCAACAGCUCGUACUAAUCAAGACAGUGAAAAAGUGAUUUCAGAGAAAGGUUUGCCUCUAUCUAGCCAGAAACCUGAAUCUGUAGAUGAUAAAAAUAUUCAUGAAAUUGUUCAAUGUAGUAAAAAGUUAAAAUACGAUGACAAUUUGAGGCUUCCAAACAUGCCAAAAGGAGGAGCUUCAUUAUUGGAGUCCUUAAAAACCAAUGCUGUGAAAAAAAGAAAAUUUAAAACUAGUACAAAAUCAUCUGUUAUUUCUUGUCUACAGAAUCGUGGCGACCUGCAAAAUAAUGUUUCUGGUUCAACAAGCUUAUUGAAAUCAAACAUGAAUAAAAAUAGUAUUCUCAAACAAAACUUAAAUAACGAAAGCAAACAAGUUACGAUUCCAACAUUUCUUAUUCAACAAUCAACAAUACAACCUACUAGCAUAGCCAAUGUCAUGCCAUCUAUUCCCCAAAGUGGUCAGCAACUGACUAUAAAUCUCCCAAAUUCUCAACCUUCAACCACGACAAACACUUCUGAGGCGAAGAAACCUGUUCCCGGUCUAAGAUUUAAACCGAUAAAUAAUCCUCGGAAUUUUACCUUAAGGCCAGGUAUGAAACAAAUAAGGCUUGUUCGUAUGCCAAAUGGGGUUAAUCAAAUUACUCUUCCAACAUCUUUUAUUCAACAGUCAAGGCCAGUGAUCUCAAAUCCUAAUGGAGUGAUUAACAGAACUCAACUGCAAAAUGCUCUACUUGUAGCCAGGUCACCCACCAGAAUACAGAAUGGACCUACUAUUCAAUCCGCCAAUAACAUGAUGUUAGGGAAUAAAUCUACAACUCAAAAUGCCGUCCAACAAGUACAAAACUGUGACAAGAAAGUUACACCUGUAACUCUUGUUAAGGGUCAAGUGAAUAGUAGUGACAUUCAAAGUAUUUUGUUGAAUCAGCAAGGGUUGCCGAAGAAUAGUAUACCUCUUCCAAAAAUUGAUUAUAGAAACAGAAAAUUAAUAACUAAACCUAUCAUAAAACAUGAAAUCCUAAAACAAAAAUCACAAAAUGUUAAAAAUUCACAAAAUGUUGUACCCCAAUCUAUUAGAAAAAACAAAAACAAAAAAACUGAUUUACUAGAGAUGUGUAUACAAAAAUCAGAAUUAUCUGACAUUUUAACUAAUUUAGAAGACAACACAUCAGAACCAGAACAUUUUUCAGUAUGUCAACUAACUUCCAGUUCAAAUAUUACCGAAUCUAUCUUAAAAAACACAUCAUCAGCUCAUCAAAUUAAUUCAAGAAACGAUUUGACAUCUACAAGUAUGAACGUAUCUACAGUGAAUGCUGCGCACUGGUUAUCUGAUAAGUAUCAGAUAACUAAUGGGCAGCAUUCAUUGUUCAACCAGAAAAUGAUAAAAUCGUUAAAAAAUGCAACGAAUUACCAGGGCUCCAAUAAUUCGCCAAACUUUAACACAAGGAUGAGCAGUUGUUCAAAAAUUACUCAAAAUUCAAACAGCCUGCUUAAAAAAACACAAAAAAUUGUUGUGAAGAAUCUGGAAACCAGUUCACAAACCAAGAUGGAUUCUAAACAAGUCACUACAAAUUCCCAAAAUGUUAAGAAGACUGAUGUCAAAAGUUCAUGCACAAAAAAGAAUAAUUCAAGUAUUACUUUGAAACUGGAUCACAACAAUACGCAAGUCACAACAAAUGUAGUGAAGACGCAGAGUUCAAAAACACUUCUUUCUUCCCAAAAAUAUAACGUAAGGAUUGAUGGUAAGAAUGUAUACUUACAACCAAUAAAUAGUACAAGCAAUGAGAAUAUAAAAUGUACCAUCGUUGAAAACUUUAAUGAAAACAUUCCCACUCAAGUAUCACAUGUUCCAAAAUAUGUAUACAUUCAAAAACAACCAAAUACACCAACCAGUUCAUUCCAAGAAGAAGCUAUUACUCAUGCACCGCACAUUCAAUCAACGGAAGCAGAAGGAUCUUCAAUUUCUUUAAAUGUAGGAGCUCGAAGAUUACAACCAGAGAUAUCAUUAAAUGAACUCAUCGACAUUACAAAUUUUCCUAAAGUCAGUGUACCAAUAAGGUCUACCAAUGGAUCUCCAUCAGGCACUAAUUAUGAGUAUGAAGAUUCUCAGCUAGAAAACAUAUUGUCUUGUAACAACUUGCACAGUGAUUUGGAUGGUCCUAAUUUAGAUUUUGGAAGAAGAACUGUUUUAACGAACAGAGACCAUAUUGGAUCUGAAAAUGAUCAAGAAGUACUGUACUACUUACAACAACAUAGUGGUUCAGAGCUAAGAUUGUGACGAGAAUCUUAACAGCCCUCAAGACGAGGGGUGUUCUGGCCAGUAAAUCAAACUGGUCUACUUCAGCGGUAUACAGAUGGGCCAAACUACACGGUUAUUCUCCAGCACCGCAGAUUAUCGGCCCUGACAAAAAUGUUGCAAAGUAUUUGCGGCAAUUGAAUAGAAAGUCAAGACAUAGAGCUGUACUUAAGUGGAUGGCAUCUAUGCAUAUUAACAAGAAAGUUACCAAUGAAGAAAUAGAUGUUGUUAGUGAAAACCAAG
rnacentral:misc_RNA from 1 species